UGGUGGGAGGCUUGGAUUCGACUCCUAAAAAGUAUAUAAUAGCUUUGUAACUAACAAUAAAGUUUGCCAUUGUUAGAAUUUAGCCUUCUCAAAAUUAACAAGUUGGAAAUAACAACCUCAACUAAGAUUUAUCACAAUGGAAGCGUUAUUCGGAACAGCAAUGGAAGGAGGAAGAGGAGAAAUGGUUGCUGCAACUGGGAAGCAAAACGUGUGGCUGUGGUCGGAGGAGGAAUCGCAGGAUCGCUCCUCGCAAGCCGUAUUCAGGACUAUGCGCAUGUCACCCUCAUUGACCCGAAAGAAUAAUUUGAGAUUCCUUGGGCGAACUUGAGAGCAAAGGUGGAUCCAUCAUUUGCAGCGAAUACACUAUUUAACCAUUCCAAGUAUUUGACAAGGGGUGAAAUUUUUAUAUCCAACACAAAAAAUGUCACUCAAACAGCGGUUUUCACAACAGACAGGCAUCAAGUUCCAUGCAACUGUCUUGUUAUUGCUACUGGCCACAAAUAAAGGAAUCCCAGAUCAAGGAGAGAUAGGAUGGAACAAUUUCAGGAAGAAAAUGUCAAGAUAGAAAAAUUCGGGGUCUAUUUUAAUAAUUGGGGGAGGACCGACGGGUGCUGAACUUGCUGCAGAGCUUGCAGUGGUCUUUCCACAAAAGAAGGUAACUUUAGUACACAAUGGACCGAGGUUACUCGAAUUCAUUGGAAGAAGGCUGCUACCAAGACACUGGAUUGGUUGAAAUCAAAGAAGGUUGAGGUUCUUCUUGAUCAAUCAAUUGAUUUGAAAUUCAUAUCAGAGGGGGACGGACAAUUCACAACAUCAGCUGGACAAUUCAGAACAUCGAUGUACUUCUUGAAGAAACCGUGAAGAAGUUUGGUGAAGAACAGGUGUCGGGAUCCGCAGGAGCCAGUUUGGGAGCUGCGCGGUCGACCGCGGCGCAAGACCGAUCGACCGCGAACGUGCACAGACUCUGGGAGGAGUCUGGAUUUAGCG